AACCUUAUGGACCUGCGGGCGUAUACCUGCGGAAGGAUCAUUACCGAGUUUACAACUCCCAAACCCCUGUGAACAUACCUAUACGUUGCCUCGGCGGAUCAGCCCGCGCCCCGUAAAAAGGGACGGCCCGCCCGAGGACCCCUAAACUCUGUUUUUAGUGGAACUUCUGAGUAAAACAAACAAAUAAAUCAAAACUUUUAGCAAUGGAUCU
rnacentral:misc_RNA from 1 species